AGUGAACGCUGGCGGCGUGCUUAACACAUGCAAGUCGAACGAGAAUGGAUUAUAGCUUGCUAUAAUUGUCAGCUAAGUGGCGCACGGGUGAGUAAUGUAUAGGUAAUAUGCCUCUUACUAAGGGAUAACAAAUGGAAACGUUUGCUAAUACCUUAUACUCCUUAUUAACAGAUGUUAAUAAGGGAAAGAUUUAUUGGUAAGAGAUUAGCCUGUAUUGUAUCAGUUAGUUGGUGGGGUAAUGGCUUACCAAGACUAUGACACAUAACUGGUUUGAGAGGAUGAUCAGUCACACUGGAACUGAGACACGGUCCAGACUCCUACGGGAGGCAGCAUUGGGGAAUAUUGCAAAAUGGACGAAAGGCUGAUGCAGCAACGCCGCGUGGAGGAUUACACAUUUCGGUGCGUAAACUCCUUUUAUAUGAGAAGAUAAUGACGGUAUUAUAUGAAUAAGCACCGGCUAACUCCGUGCCAGCAGCCGCAGUAA
rnacentral:rRNA from 1 species